rnacentral:tRNA from 1 species
AAGAUUACACCUACGGACUUCUAAUCCGUUCCUAAUAUAUUUAUUUAAUCUUU